CGAGUUCACUAUAAAUUGUCAAGACCAUUUCAUCAAUAUGGACACUGUGGGAGUGUGCAACAUCAAAAAGCAACCAGGGGAACUGACCGGUCUAGAAUCCUGAGAAUUUCAGAAUCAAUUUGGAAAAAAGAUGGACUGUUUGAUCUUUUCGAUCAUGCAUACACAAUUUUAGAAAAACAAAGAAAGCCAUUAUACGUAUGGAUUUACAGAGAUAUUGAUAUGAAGAAAGUGCGUCAGAAAAUGGUUUCGUACAUACACAAAAGAGGGAACGUACACAAAUAAGAAUAAUACAAAAGAUACAAUUAUGUUUAUAACACUUUCAGAUAAUUUAAUGUAGUGUACUUUAAGAAGUAUACCUGCUGCAUACGUCUCGGUAUCAAUUUUAAGUGCAAUUUACAAAAGUGUAUCCCUCUUAGCCACCUUUUUAUUGAACAAAUACCGCCAUACAUUGACGAAAUUGAAACAAACAGAACGUAAAAGCUGCAAAAAGAGUAGUCAUUAAAGGAAUGCAAUAUCUGGAAUUUACUAAAACUGUUACAGAUUGAUGUGGUCAUACAGCUUCAAUGUUUUACUUGUUGUAUAAAUGCUCCGACCGGAAAAGUUACCAUUUGACAGAUCCUGUACUGAUGUUCAGUGCAGAAUGAAGUGGCAAACAUUACCUCCCCUGUAAAAAAUUUAAAACAACGUUUAAUAAUUUCAUGCGUCCGAAGCGCUUUUCUGGAUUUACCUUCAUCAGGAACGCUCAAAGCCAAACAUUUGAAAUCCGAGGAUGUAUACGUUCAAUGUUCUGCACUGUAUCUGCGAAUGAGCAUAUAAUAAUACAGAA